rnacentral:lncRNA from 1 species
GGGGUCAAUCCUCCUAUUGUACUGCUUGUAGAGGUCGCCCCAUCGAUCAAGGCGACCUCGGUCAUUCAUCAUGCUGCUCCCCCCGAUAUUGGAUAAAUCGAUCAAUGUGGCCAUGCCUAAUCAGAUUCUUAAUUUCAUCAUGGAGUUGGAUAUAGUCCUCCAUAUCAUGGCUGUGAUCUCGGUGGUAUGACAAUACUUGUUUGGGUCCUUUCGAGUCGGGUUUGUCCGCAGCUUCUUCUCCUCCGAUAGCUACCUUCUGAUUUUUAUGAGUACCUGAGUCCUUGGUGCAUUUAGCAGGGUAUAAUUGCUAUAUCUGCUCGACGGUGGCAAGGCUCGCCCAUUCCUCCUUUGGGGGCUUAUGGGCUGAGGGUUCCUUGGGGGCCCAUUCUUCUGACGACGGAAAGGUGAUCUUGAACAUUGACGUACUCCUAUCUCCCUCACGGGUGAUGAUUCCUUGUUCUGCAUACUGUCUCCAC